GCUUAGCAUCAAUGUAAGCUUCAGAGUCCCCCGUCUUCAGCGGGGCCUAGCAUAGGUUCAGCUCCUGAGAAAGCGGAAUCAGAUCUGCUGUGGGUGCCAGGAAAAGUGUGGAUUGAAGGCCACGAACAGGCAGACAAACAAGCAAAAAGUCACAUUUAUUGGACCAGAACCGCCAAGUGGCAUCGACAGCAAGCUGCGGCACUCUCAACACACAAUAAUGACACAUCUACACAGAAAACAAACACUUUGAGUUUUUGCAGUCCGGUUGACCAUGGUCAUCAUGACAUGUACAAACUUCUUCAGUAAAUGUCCACAUAUAUUCUUCAGCGUUUGUUCUUUUGUGAAGAUUAUUUCGAAAGAUUUUAAUAACAGCAAACUUUAAAUUGAAAUAUUAAUAAACAGUUUACUUACUAGAAGAAGUAGUUUUCCGUUUUUUUAAUGCAACCGUACAAAGCUUAAUUUUAAAAAAAAAUUUGCCUUAGAUAGGGAAAUAUUGGAAAGAAUCAUAAGUCGAAAUCUGUUUUUGCAGUCCGGUUGACCAUGAUCAUCAUGACAUGUAUAAACUUCUUCAUUAAAUAUCCACAUAUAUUCUUCAGCGUUUGUUCUUUUGUGACGAUUCUUUCGAAAGAUGUGAAUAACAAUAAAACUUUAAAUUGAAAUAUUAAUAAA